UUAAUGCAAAAAAAUGGCAUUUUUGCACCAAAGGGAGAUAAUUUGGAGCUUUUUCAAUGAUAUCUACAUUUUAAAAGUCACCUGGGGCCAACACGAAUUGAUUUUUUGGAAUGAUUUUUGUACCAUAUGAUAAAAUAACAUAACUACUAAAGGUAAUAAAUAAAAUUUGUAAUGAAAAAAUAAUGUUUAAUUUUUUUCUGAAAAUCUUAUACCCGCGAGCCUCCUUAAUAGUGUUUGUGCAAAUUCAUCUGUCCAGUCUUUCCUCUUAAUUGUAUUCUCUUUAAGUAUUGGUGAGUGUUCGCCAUGAAUUUCAGUAAGUAACUUGUGGAUUUACAUGUAUAUAUAUAUAUAUAUAUAUACUCAAAAUUUAGUACUAAUAUUAAUGGGAGUUUAGCAUGACAUCCUGUCAAAUGCUUGUUAAUCAUGUUUAUGUUCCAGAACAUAUGAGUAUUUGGACUGUACGCGUACA
rnacentral:lncRNA from 1 species